AGAUGCGACCGGCGCACGGUGAGUAACACGUAUCCAACCUGCCGAUAACUCGGGGAUAGCCUUUCGAAAGAAAGAUUAAUACCCGAUGGUAUAAUCAGACCGCAUGGUUUGAUUAUUAAAGAAUUUCGGUUAUCGAUGGGGAUGCGUUCCAUUAGGCAGUCGGUGAGGUAACGGCUCACCAAACCUUCGAUGGAUAGGGGUUCUGAGAGGAAGGUCCCCCACAUUGGAACUGAGACACGGUCCAA
rnacentral:rRNA from 1 species